rnacentral:rRNA from 1 species
GACGAACGCUGGCGGCGUGCUUAACACAUGCAAGUCGAGCGGAAAGGCCACUUCGGUGGUACUCGAGCGGCGAACGGGUGAGUAACACGUGAGUAAUCUGCCCUUGGCUUUGGGAUAGCCACCGGAAACGGUGAUUAAUACCGGAUACGACCACUUCUCGCAUGGGAUGGUGGUGGAAAGUUUUUCGGCCAGGGAUGUGCUCGCGGCCUAUCAGCUUGAUGGUGAGGUAAUGGCUCACCAUGGCUUCGACGGGUAGCCGGCCUGAGAGGGUGACCGGUCACACUGGGACUGAGACACGGCCCAGACUCCUACGGGAGGAAGCAGUGGGGAAUAUUGGACAAUGGGCGGAAGCCUGAUCCAGCAACGACGCGUGAGGGAUGACGGCCUUCGGGUUGUAAACCUCUUUCGGUGGGGACGAAGCGCAAGUGACGGUACCCACUAAAGAAGCACCGGCCAACUACGUGCCAGCAGCCGCCGUAACAC